UACAGAGGUCUCAAGCGUUGUUCGGAUUCAUUGGGCGUAAAGGGUGCGUAGGUGGCACCGUAAGUCGGGUGUGAAAUCCUGAGGCUUAACCUCGGAACUGCAUUCGAUACUGCGGUGCUUGAGGACUGGAGAGGAGACUGGAAUUCAUGGUGUAGCAGUGAAAUGCGUAGAGAUCAUGAGGAACACCAGUGGCGAAGGCGGCGAUCUGGGGAAGAUACUGACGCUGAGGUGCGAAAGCGUGGGGAGCAAACAGG
rnacentral:rRNA from 1 species